AGUUUGGACACUUGUGGUUGCAGUGGUUGCUGGUUCAGGUCCCAGUCAUAGGCCUUUAAAUCCAACUUCUAUCGCUUUUGUUUGCACUUUAGUGUUCUCAGCGGUCUUUAAAUUGUGAUUAUGAAGUUUUUAGCCAAAGUCAUGUUACCUGUGUCAGUUUCAAAUGUUUUGCCUUCUGCAUAGUGUAGUAGAAGUGGUGGAUAACAUGGGAGCUAUCCAGCUCUUGGACACUUAUGUCUUUGGGGACAUGAUAAAAGUUUGUUCAUUUGUUUUCUUCCGCUUCAUCCGGGUCUGGGUCACGGGGGCAGCAGCUUCAGGAGGGAAGCCCAGACGGCCCUCAUCCCAGCCACUUCCACCUGCUCCUCCGGGGGGAUUCCCAGGCGGUCCCAGGCCAAGCGAGAGAUAUAAUCCCUCCAUCUAGUCCUGGGCCGGCCAUGAGGUCUCCUCCCGGUGGGACAUGUCUGGAACACCUCUAACGAGAGGCGUCCAGAAGGCGUCCUAACUAGAUGCCCGAGCCACCUCAGCUGACUCCUCUUGACGUGGAGGAGCAGCGGUUCUACUCUGAGCGCCUCCCGAGUGUCCGAGCUCCUUACCCUAUCUCUAAGGCUGAGCCCGGACUCCCUGUGAAGGAAACCCGUUUCAGCCGCUUGUAUCUGCGAUCUUGUUCUUUCGGUCAUUACCCAAAGUUCAUGACUAUAGGUGAGGGUUGGCAUGUAGAUCGACCGGCAUUGAGAUCCGCUAACAAAUACAUUUGUUCCGUGAUCCGGGGGCGGAGCUUGUAUUUGUGACGUAGGAAAUCUCACUGUUUCUGAACAUGCCGUUUGGGUCUGCCAGAGAUUUUCAGCAAUUUGAAUGUAGAAAUACUCAGAAAUGCAAUUUUGCACUUAUUUUUCUCCUGAUAUGUCCUGUAGCAUCAGAAAAAUGAACAUAUUGACAUCAAGAAAAACAUGAUUUUUAUCGCAGUGGGUCUUUAACUCUAUGUUGUCCCCCACUCUCUGUUUUCAAAUAUGGGAAUUUGCAAACAAACAAAUCCGUAAUUAAGCAAUGUCCUAACUUUUUUUGCACUUGACUUCUACGUCGUGCUAACGCCUCCACGUUUGAGGUUGAGGUCUGUUUGCAUAGACUUGCUGUUGGUCCCCACUCUUGGUUUUAUCACUCCACCUGCUGCAGGUUAUCACAGAGGAACUUGUGUUGACAUAAACAACAUUUGCAUAAAGGUAAUUUUUAUAUUUUCUGAAGUGUUGGUGCUCAUGAAGCGGAGGUCAGCUCAGCAGGCUGGAUUUGCCGAGUUUGAAUAUCUCUCUUUCUGUUAAUAAUUCGUCCUUUACCCCAUUAUUCUCCCUGGACCAGAGGAUGGAGAGAGAGAGAAUAGGAAAAGAGGGAGCGAGUGGGGAGUCAUUGGAGUACAUGCAUUAUGUAUCAUAUCCUACAGUGAAGAAGACAGUGCUGCGAGAGGGAAUGAGAGCGACCAGCGGUGCAGCAGGAUGAGUGCGGCGAAUACUAAUGAGGGAGCUGGAAGCUACAUCUGAUUAAAAGCACAAGUCCUGGUGAACACAGCACAGCGGUGUUCUCAGCAAAAACACAGACAGUAGAGCACAUCCUAUCAAAAGAGAGCAGGGGAUGUUUGGAGCUGCUGAAGAUGAAAGAUCAUGUGAUCGUGAUAAAAGCUGAGUCACUGAUGGAGAGGAAGAGGAAGACGCUCGGCUCUGAAAUGGGAUUUGUCAGAUUUGUCGGUCACUUAGUCGUGGUUAAAGGCAGUUUUCUUUGAGCACACGAGGUCUGGAUCUGCAGUCUAAUUGUUGGUCUGUGUCACAGCUUCACACCCACACAUUAGCAUACACAAGGUUAAGUGAUUCUAGGUAGGAAGGGUUCAUGCGGGGCUCUGGGGCUUAAAACCACAUUUAUUUUCUGCACAGAGUCAGUCAGACAGAAAUAGGAACCUCUGGGCCAAGAUCAUUACGUUAACUCUUUAGAGCCCGCUCAGGUUUCAGAAAACUCCCGCAGAUACUCUGACUAAAUCAGCGUUUUUGACUCACAUCCUGAGAAUCCAGUUUUUUUUAACAAAUGUGUCACAUUUUCACGACAUCUAACGGCGACCUUUUCCAUCUUCGAAACACUGGAAGGAUUUCAAGAGGGGCAUUUCUUAUUCGGUCCACUGAAAGAGCAGCAAGGAAGCACUUUGUUUACACUUUAACCCUUGGAGGUAAUCCACUGGUUACUUUAUCUACAUUUAAACUACUUCGACAACAUGCAGAGGGUUUUAUUUGUUUUAUUUGUUAAUAGAUUUUCAUGUAUAUUUCACCAUUGUUCAUGUUUUUAUCCACCACACAGUUAUAAAAGAGGGGUGUAAUUCCUGAGACUGGUGAGUCUACUGCUCCUGACCCAACGAGGAAUCGCCGGGUCGCUGAUAAAAAACAAGUUUUCUCAGCAGAGCCAGGUGAGUUUCUGCCUCAAAGCUACAGCAGAGGCACUUUGUCGGAGCAGAGUCCUGCGCUCAGAGAAAGCGCCGUCUCCCUGCUGGUACAUGGAAACAUUAUCUGGUAAUCUCUGCCCGUUGGCACAGACGACUUAAAACUCUCGCGGAUCAACCUCCCGCUGCCGUCUUCCUUUAUUCUCCUCUUUUUCUCAGAGUUAAAAUGUGAAUCGACUGCUGGGUUGAUUGUGCUUCUUGUGGCUGCUAUUAAACAGAUAAACGCUGUGUGACUCGUGUUGCUAUAUAUAAAAAAGACAAAAAUCACAAAGACAAUUAUCAUGUUGGAAGUAAACUUCUCUGAGGGUCAAAGAAAUCUGAGGAUUUACUCCAAGGUAAGGUUUCAUUAUCGGCAUACAUCUGAAAGUGCACCUUCUUCAAUCUUUUCAAUAAGUGUAAUAAACAUGCACAGAAAACUCCUGCGAGCUGUUAGGACCUGAUCCGUCUCCAUAUCGUCAGAAAGAGCUGCGAGGUUCGAACAAAGAACCAUCCAUCCAUCUUCAACCGCUUAUCCGGAAGAAGCCCAGACUUCCCUCUCCCCAGCCACUUCAUCCAGCUCUUCCCGUGGGAACCCGAGGUGUUCCCAGGCCAGCUGAGUGAAGUAGUCUCUCCAGCGUGUCCUGGGUCUUCCCCGCGGUCUCCUACCGGUGGGAUGUGCCCUGAAUACUUCACCAGCAAGAGGCAUCCUGAUUAGAUGCCCAAGCCACCUCAUCUGACUCCUCUCGAAGUCCAGCCAUCCUGUGAAGGAAACUCAUUUUGGCCACUUGUACUUGCGAUCUUGUUCUUCCAGUCACGACCCUGAGCUUGGGUCCAUAGGUGGAGGUAAGAACGUAGAUCGACCAGUAUAUCGAGAGCUUUGCCUUUUGGCUCAGCUCCCUCUUCAUCAUGACAGAUCUGUGCAGCCUCCACAUCAGUGCUGACACGGCACUGAUCCGCCUGUUGAUCUCCUGCUCCAUUCUUCCCUCACUCAUGAACAAGACCCCGAGAUACUUGAACUCCUCUACUUGGGGCAGGAUCUCAUCUCCGACCUGGAGAAGGCACUCCACCUUUUUCCAGCUGAGAACCAUGGACUCAGAUUUGGAGGUGCUGAUUCUCAUUCCAGCCGCUUCACAUACAAACCAAUUCAGUGAGAGCUGAAGGUCACGGCCCGAUGAAGCCAACAGGACCACAUCAUCUGCAAAUAGAGUGACCUAAUCCUGAGGUCACCGAACCCGACCCUGUCCAUAAAAGUUCUGAACAGAAUCAGUGACAAAGGGCGGCCCUGGCAGAGUCCAACCCUCCUUGGAAACGAGUCUGACUUACUACUGGCUAUGCAGACCAAGCUCCGGUACUGGUUUUACGGGGAACGAACAGCCCUGGUCAGGGUAAGUAAGCUUUAUUCAUAUAGCACCUUUCACAGACAAAAAGCCACAGAGUGCGUCACAUAAACAAACAGCAAAAAUGUCCGUAAAAAUUUAAAAGACAACAACAUUAACAAUCAUGGCAGCCCCCAAAAAACUGAACAAAAGCCUGGGCAAAAAAAUAGACAAUGAAUCUGUUAAAUCUGUCCAAAGUUUUCAUUAACAUAAACAUUAUAACCUGAUAAAGGUCAGGUGGUCUGUCCCCCCUACUUAAGAAGAUUUACUUCAAACCCAUUAAAGAUAAAGAUCCAGGAAUGACCUCAAAUCCUGGAUAAUCGUGUUAUCUUUUGACAUAGUCCACUUAAAUACGUUCAUUUUAAAAGCUAAUGCUGUGGUGAACUCAGGGGCGGAGGUGGGGGUGGUGGGAUGCCUUUCUGUAUAAAAUGUCCUAUCUGCUGCCCUGUCCCUGGAAAAUUCAGGAAAAAUGACUUUAGUGAAGGAUAAAUCAUGACAGACUGCUCCCCGGUUCCCUCCCAGUAUAUUAUACUGCUGCAAAAGUUCCCUCCACGUGCCCUUCAGGUAUAUAAGAUGCAGCAGAAGUGCCAUGUCCAUGCCCUCCUAGUUUAUAUAUCCAGUAAAAGUCCCCUCUGCAUGCCCUUCUGCAGAUAUAAUGUCCUUCCAGCAUAUAAAUGUAGUAAAAGCAUGUUGGACGCUGGUGCAGAGCAUUGCUAUUAGAGACUCAUCUGCACAGCAUUACCUCUUCCUGCAGGCAUGUUGUUUCCACAGCAACCUGUCACACAUGUACUAACUAACCACUGGAGUACAAAAAUAUCUCUGAGUAAGACUCUGAAAUCUCCGUCUUUGACUCGUUCUUGAUUGGAUCACACUUUUAACCUUUUAUAAAAUUUCACGUUUCUGUGAAUUAAAAACGGAGGAAAAGUUGUUCAAAUGGAUUUCUCCAGACGAGACUUCAUUCUUGUUUUGAGGUCAUCAGAGAGGAUUUCUUCUUUGUCUGAGUGUUGAGACUCGAGGCAAACCAGAGUCAGUUUGUGUGAGCGCAGCAGAACAACACUUCAUUUGCAUGCAGUUGCGUUUGCCAUGAGUUGCAUUAGCGAUGCUACGCUGCAGCAGUAAUGGAUUCCCUCAUUUGGGGUGAAUGAACGUGGAUGCGAGGAAGGGGGGGUCAUAUUUGACUCAUUACUUUUGGUGGGUGGCGGACGCUUUCUUUACAUCCUGGUCAUUAUGCUGAGCCAUUAGGCUGCAGGGAGCAGCACAUACUGGCAGAGAUACUAGGUCUGCAGAUUCAAGUGUAGUUCCUCUUCUUCUGCAGCCGGGCAUCUGCUGUCACUCUCUCUCCUCAAUGCAGGGGCGCAGCACCAAAUUCCAGGCCCUGUACAUUCUCGAUGUCAGUGGGCCCCUAUCCAUGCCAGGGCAGGAAGCACAUGAGCAAAAAAAAAAAAGAAUAAAUAAAGGUUUUUUUUAUUAGGGCUCAACCUAUAUAGAAUUUUUGGGGCUGACGCUGAUACCGAUUAUUAGGGAGGGAAAAGAUCCGAUUACCGAUUUUUAAAACACUGUAGUUAUACUGUAGGCUACUGCUCUUCACGCUGCCAGGAAGACCGACUGAUCAAACUUGGACCAGAAAAGUGUUUUCAACAACCACAACGAGAAUAAAGUCAGAAUAAAGUCCUUCUAUUCUAACCUGCUGUUUAAGAUAACAAUUGUUGAAAUGAGAGCCAUGGAGCAUUUUGUGAAAAUAUACUUUGAUAUAUGUUUCUCAAACAAGGAGAUACUUGAUCUUUUGGCACAUCAGCAACACAUUAUCAUAAUGAUUUUAAUAGGACUUUAUUCUCGUGAUUACUUUAUUGCGACUUUAUUCUUGUAAAUUAACGUCUUUAAUCUCGAAAUCUACUUUUUUUUUUUCUUAAUGUGGCCCUAAUACCCUGUCGUAGUUUUAAGCUACAAUCAGAUCAGAUUAUAUUGAUGAGUGGUUCUAAUAGCUAAUUGUUCUCACUACCUACACCUCUCUUUCUCAGUUAUUUAACUUGAUUAUUAAUUGGCUUUGAUAACAUCAUGAAUUUAUUGACAAUAUCUUUUAAGCACUGCAGCACUGCAUGACAAUGUUAAGGCUUUUUACCAGACAGAAAUAAUAAACUGCUUUAUUGCUCAGUUAAUAUAUUACUAGUGUGAACUUGAGCCGACAGUGAUAUUGGUAGAUUAUUGACAUGUUGAUAGAUGCAGCAGAAAUAUUGCUAGAUUGAUCAUUUAUCAACCUUCAGGACAGAGUUUGACUUUGAGCUCUGCUGUGUUCGUAGACGAUAGGCUAAAGGACACAAACUAAACCAUCAAGAAAAACAGACGAGGUGAUUUCAGUGACUCAGUUUGAUGAUUUUUAUUGUUUUCACCCACAAUCAGAGACUUGACCACAAUCUGAGCUGAGUCAGAAACAUCAAAACAGUCGGACUAAUAAAUGUGAUUAUUAUUAUUAGAGUGAUUGAAAAGCUCAUAACAACAUGUAGAUCUGUCCAAAGUCUGAUUCUAGAUGUCUUUACAAACACACUGAUCCAACAGAAGCAGACAGAAAUAUCCAUCGAUCACAUGAACACAAAUAUUCAGCAAACAGAGAAAGAAACAGAUCAUCUGAAGAGUUUUUGGGGACGACUGGAAAGACUUUAGACGCUUGGAUUUGGGACAGGAAAUAAGGUCGUCCUUUUUCAUCUUUCGUUUCUUAUUUUGACGUCACUUUUUUCUAAAGUCUGUGACCUUCAACAUCUGCACCAACUGAAGGUGAUUUGAACAAACGAUCAUCUUGAUGUUGUUGAUAUCAAACUUGAUGAAGAUUUUUCAACAUGAGAAAUACAAACAAUCAAAGUUCUCCACAAUCACUGUCCUUGAAGCUGCGACCAAAUCAGCAUCUUUAGAAAAGAAUGAAAAAGCUUAAAUGAAGAACUAAACCGAGAGUUUUUGGUGAGACUGAUCCACAAACAUUUACAAACCAGAACAUUUCAAGAGUUCAAGGAUCUCAGUCCAUGAUUUUGGUCUGAUGGACUCAAAAUUCUCUUUAUUUCACUUCUAUAAACUCAGCAGAGGCUCCAAAAUUCCAGGGUAUCAGUCCAGCAUGUAGCGGCUCAGUGAAUGUGGUCUGGACUCUGUGGAGGAGAGUCAUGGUUUCAGAGACGCUGUAGAAGGACAGAAAUUUUUUCCAAAUUUACAAUCCUCUGACUUCCCUGCUCUGCUGAUAGUCUUGUAUGCGACUGCUACACCAACCCCGUACCCUCUCCAGUCCACCUCCCAGUAACAACGUCCAGUCAGACUCUCUCUACUCAGGACCUGAGGAUAAUUAGUGAAUCUGUCUGGAUGAUCAGGAUAAGACUGUGGUUGUUCUGUCCAUGUUGCUCUUCUGUUUCCUUCAGAUAAUAUCAGCCCUCUGCUUGCUGUGUUUGGAUCUCAGUCCAUGAUUUUUGUCUGAUGGACUCAAAAUUCUCUUUAUUUCAGUUCUAUAAAUUCAGCAGAGCCUCGAUCAGACCAGAAUGACAGUCCAGCAUGUAGCGGCUCAGUGAAUGUGGUCUGGACUCUGUGGAGGAGGGUCAUGGUUUCAGAGACGCUGUAGAAAGACAGAAUACCUGCUCUGUGAUCCAGGAACACUCCUACUCUGGAGGACUGAGGACCUGAGACAGAAGUGCGGACUUUGUUGUGAACAAAUCGAUACCUGUCUUUAGAACAGAAUAACGUCCAAGAUUUGUCAUUUAAUCCAAAUACACAAUCCUCUGAGUCCCCGUCUCUGCUGAUAGUCUUGUAUGCGACUGCUACAUAAACCCAGUUCCCUCUCAGCUCCACCUCCCAGUAACAACGUCCAGUCAGACUCUCUCUACUCAGGACCUGAAUCCAGUAAGUGAAUCUGUCUGGAUGAUCAGGAUAAGACUGGUGUCCUGUAAAUGUUCCUCUUCUGUUUCCAUCAGAUAAUAUCAGACAUUCGUUUGCUGUGUUUGGAUCCAAUAUGAUUCUUUGUGAAUAUCUUAAGAAACCUGCUCUGGUCUUGGGUUCUGCUGGUUCUAACAGUAAAACAUCCACUUCAGUCACUGCCUGUGAGACGUUUGUCCACGUCUCUGUCAGAAGAUCCUGGAGUUUAUCACUGACCUCUGACACAGCUGCUGUCACCUCCUCAAAGUAUCUCAGAGCACGGAUGUUGAUUCUGGAUGAGUCUGCAGGUUGACCCGGUUCUGACAGUGAGGGGUAGCUGUGCAGAAACUGGUUGUGGUCCUCUGUGAGUGAGAGCUUCUGCAGAUCAGCGUCUUUCCUCUUCAGCUCAGUGAUCUCCUGCUCUAGCUUCUCCUGAAGAUCUUUGACUCGACUCACUUCACGUUCCUGCUGGGAUCUGACCUGCUGCUCCACGUCAGAGCGGCGUUUCUCCAUCAGACGGAUCAGCUGGCUGAAUAUCUCCUGGCUGUGCUCCACAGCUUUAUCAGCAGAGCCGUUGAUAGCCUCCACCUCCUGUUGGAGCAGCUUCACAUCUUCUUCUCUGUCCUGGAUUCUCUGCUGGAUGUUUUCUCGACUCUCCUCCAGAUCUUUCUGCCUCUCAGUCCUUUCUGCUGCAGCUGAGACUGUGUCGUGGCCUUUGUGUUGGUCCACAGAGCAGAGAGAACAGAUAGACUUCUGAUCAGUGCGGCAGAAGAUCUUCAUCACCUCAUCAUGACGAGAGCAGAUGUUCUCCUGGAGCUUCUUGGAGGGCUCCACCAGCUUGUGUUUCUUAAAUGAAGGUGAUUCAAAAUGAGGCUGGAGGUGAAUCUGACAGUAAGAAACCAGACAUUGAAGACAGGACUUGACAGCUUUCAGUUUUUUUCUCCCACUGCAGGAAUCACAGGCCACAUCUUCAGGUCCAGCCUCAGAGGAACCAUCAGGAGCAGCUUGGAGUCCACUCUUCUUCACCUCCUCCACUAAACCUGCUAACAUGGUGUUUUUCAUCAGGACAGGCCUCGGUAUGAAGGUCCGUCUGCACUGAGGACAGCUGUAGAUCUUUUUCUCAUCCUCAGUAUCCCAGUAGGUUUGAAUACAGCUCAUGCAGAAGCUGUGUCCACAGGAAACAGUCACCGGAUCCUUCAGGAGAUCCAAACAGAUGGAACAAGAGAAAAGCUCAUGGUCCAGAUGAACUCCUUUCUGCGCCAUUUCAACACUCGCUGUCGACAACUGACUGAGUUUUAUUUCCUGGUCUGCGCUCUGAUCCUGUGUCAGCUCAGUAUAUGUUGGUUACACCCAUCUUCAGACUGAACACCUGAUCAGAUCUGGGAGGGGUUAUCCAGUUUGUCUACAAUCCAGAAAGAGGAGUGUCUCUGUUAACUUUAGACUCUCAAACUCCAACAAGCAGAAGUUCUUAAAGCUACAGCCGUCCUGAAGAUCAACUGAACCAACAUUUAUUCACCUCAUAGAAACCUCAUGGAUCACAGAAAAACUUCCACUUUUUUAUCCUGAUAUCCACACAUAUUUAAAUAUACAACACAUAUAAAUUCUCUCUCUCUCUCUGCUGCAGCGCCACUGUUUGUUCCUGAAACUGGUUAAUGUUGACAGCUAACGUUAGCUAGCUCAUAACUGUCUUCAUACUUAAAGCCCCAAAUAGCCUAGUUAGCAGCUAGUUAAGCUAAAGACUCAGGUUAGCAUGCAAAAAUCAGCAGCAGGUUUCUCAAGUGGACUAUGUUGAAGUCCUGGUUGACGAUCUGAGAAGCAGUUGAAAAAAGCGUCCCACUCCCCCCCACACACACAAACCUCUCCCAUCUGUGCUCCACCAUAACUCCCCCCCCAAACCUGUAUCUCCCUCUCCACAACACAUCCCCUCUGGCAGAAGAUCCUACACUAGCUUCAACUAGGAUUCACCAUGUCGGAUUGUUAGUGACUAGCAGCAGUAAACGCCAGCUCUGCUAGUGAGCGCCGUCUGCAGCUGCCUGGACAGCUAGCGUGUUGACAUGUCAGAGACUAAUCAGAGUUAUUUAUGUAACAUGAGCCACGAUAAAAGGAGAUAAAAAUGACCUGUUCAACAAAAACUCUGCUGUCUCUGCGUCUGUUUUCAGGACCAAAUCCUGGCGGAGCUUUCUCCACCGCUCCAAGGAUGACCCGAUGUUUAUCCACAUUAGAUUCCUCGCUUGGUCACAUUUCCUCUUCGUCUCCGCCCUUUCUUCUGUCGGCUUGUGUUUUCUUCCCACUUUUGGCGGUGGGGCGAGCAGAAGUGUUUUUUUGGCGUCCUUCUCCAUCACAGCUCCUGUAGCUAAGCUGCUACACUACUUUUAGCCGCUCAGAGCUCCGAGGAGGGCCGGGAGAGGGGUGUGUCGAAUACAGCGAGGUGAUUGGAUGGAGAGGCGGAGCAGAAAGAGCUGUCCAGGACUGAUGGUUGCCAUUGGUCAAUGAUUUUGCAGCCCUGCACCUGAUAGGGUGAACAGAUUUUUUCCUUUUUUUUUUUCCCUUUACUUUGUGGAAUUCGAACUAUAGGACCAUGAUUGCCAUAGAAACGAGGUUCAUAGUAAUUACCAAUCUCUCCAAUCGUCAACCAUGACUUUAACUUUAACUGGACUGUGCAGAACAAACAAACUGGGUUCACCUUUGGGAAAGAAAGCGGUCAACAGCUGCCUCCCCUCAUUCUGCCCCCUUACUUUUUCUUUCCUCUCUUUCUUCUUCUUCUGAUUCCCUGAUUUAUGCUUUUUGGGACUGACGUUACACUUGUUGCCAGUCGCUGUCAGGCGGACGAAGCCAUUUUGCGAGGGGGUCCCCCAGAAUGUCCAAUAUGUUGGGAGGACUCUGACAUAAAGUUCAUUCUCUCAGUUGACGUUAUCAAUAUCAUUGAAAUCAGUUAUGACACCAGUUAAUUGGAGGGCCCAAUUCAUUUGAAAUAAAAACAUCACAUAAAAAAAGAAAAUAAGAAUUUCAUAGGCGCACUUUUACUCCCCACUUCCACGCCCAUGAGUGGAUGUGACACUGAAACAAGCAGGAGAGCUGAACUGUCGCCUUCACCGUUAUGACAUUUCCAAGCAGCCCCCCCUCCUUUGGCUCCCUCGCUGUUAUCCGUCCUGUCAUAUGUUUACCUCUUCACAUGAUUUACAUUCGUGUGCCGUUGUUCUGGAAGAUUGCGGGCUGCUCAGGCUCUCCAGGGGCUCUGAUUCAACAAGGCUCUCCCCACAGUUCCUCCUUUCAUGGUGAUUCAUUCACUGUCUAAUAUUUACUCCAUCAGAGGCAGGUGCUGCCAGAGACCAAGAUUUACUGCAGAUUUAAAGUCCCUCUCCGGCUGCCUUUCUCCGGCCGGCUCGCUCUAACGACGCACACUCUGCCUUCAACAAAUCAACUUCUUCACAGGCCCGACACAGCCGCCCAUCACCCUCUAAGUUAUGUGCCCCUGUAGUCCCGCCCAUUUUCCCAGCUAGCAUCUGUUCCACUAGCUUUUGUAGCUUAAUGGACUUUUAUAGAGAGACUUGGAACAAAAGUUAGGCAGAAAACUUCACUGAAAUAAGAUUGAUGAGCGAAGCGUGCGCUGCAUAACAAACCCGCUCCACAAACAAGCUCCAGAUUCUGCAAGAAAAACAAUCAAACCAGGAUAAUAAUCUACAGAGUUAUGCAAAUACUCUGCCUCUAACUAACAGCCUCAAAAUCAUACCAGUGCCACAAUAACUCUGUGCCCUAACCUUGUGCUUUUGCAUGAUAUCAGGUUGUGUGGGCACGUCCUUUAAAGAAAAAGAGGCCGGACUCUCUGGCAGAGAUCCCUGAAGGCAGACUCGUGCUGUAACUGGUCUAGGGUGAGUAAAUUUCAGGACAGAGCAAAGAAGAAAUCAUUGAGGAGAUCAGGAAUCAGAAAACCAUACCAUCAUAAAGUUUAUUUACACGCAGCUCUUCUUCUUCUGAAUGUUUAUAGUCAUAUACUGACUUAUGAUUGGUCAAAACUUUUGUUCAUUCUUGCUGAGCUAAAUGAUCUGGAUUGCCUGGGAGUAUCUACGCCCAGAAAGGAGGAUCCGAAUCCCAUUUUUUCAAAGUAAGAUGGAUCACAGACAACUUGAGCAGGAUCGAAUAGCCUUUGCAGAUUAUAAGUAAUUUCGGAAUCUCUUCAUGGGAUCAAACCUUUGAGUAGAAUUGGACUGUUAUGGGGUGUUCACACCAAAUGUGAGUAAAAUCAUCGACUUGCUUAAUUUAUGCAGAUGGUUUGCGCGUCAACAGAGUGUGUAGUAGCCAUGGAUAGUCAUUUCUGCUAAGUUUAACAGUGAUCCUUGUCUAUCACUUGAUCCCAGUGGUUAAAUUGGCAACAGUUUUUCACAGUUUACAAGAUAAUACGACCUCCUCACUCACCUUCCUCCAGACUGCUAGCCGUAGAUACGAGACGGGGUAGAGUCUCCAUCAAGCACGGUCAGAGUGAACCACGUUCAACAGAUUGCUGAUUUGUUUUUGUUGUUGAAGGUCCACAACUGUCGAAGAUGUAGGCGCCACCAUGUCUGGGUCUCCUUCAAUAGCUGUGCCCAGAUGACGGCCGUUCCCAGCGGUAUUUUCGGGUUACUGGAACCCAAUUUGAUUACCUGUUGGUGAGGGUCGGUGCCAGGACAUCCCUUCAGGAUACCGAUUACAUCUGUCUACUGUGAGUAAAAGGAUUUGUGUUUGUAUUUUCCCACCGCUGAACAUCUUCAGGUCCGUUUUCAUACGUCACCCGGGAAUCUUCAUGCUGAUUGGUUGUCACGAUGUGUUAUGUUUCUGCAAGUCCCAUGACGUGAAGGACAGGGGUCACGGAGAGGGGUUGUAACAAAAGGAAAAUCUGCUCCUUCAAACAAAACAAAAAAUAGGCCUUUGGGUUCUAAAAGAUUAAGUGAAUUAUGCUUCCCCACAGCCACCCACUAAUUUUGCCCAAAAGUCGGCAAACCAAAGUAAACAGAGGUAGAAUCAGUGAGGAGGGAAACACUAAGUUCAAAAAAAUCUCCUUAUAGAUCAAAAACUCUAGAAUUUACCCUCCUUCCCUCAAAACUCAAUCACUCUCACAAACAUUCAUCACACAAACCAAGAGAAACCAACUGAAGGUGUUGCAUCUUUGCUGUCACACACCUACUGAGUGAAACAACCUCCUUCUAUAGACGACCCAAGGCUGAUGAGCACCAGCUGACUGCAAUGGGGACAGGUGAGCUGAGUGAGAGGCUCGUUAGGUGUGCUAGGGGUCACAGACUACCUCCGUCUGUAACAGCUGCGAAUAUCUGCUCAAGUUGGGAUAUCUUCAACUCCUGCAUAUUCGUGUCCACUCAAUUCGUGUGAACAACUCGCUCAAUUCGCGCGAUAAAUUCGCUCUAUUCGCACCACCCAGUUCGUGUCAUUCACGCCGCCAGAGAAGUACGAGCGUCUUUGUAUUAACUUAACAUGGAAUUCGUUCGCGUGAAUGAUUUUACUCACGCUUGGUGUUAACGCCACUUUGGGACGACUGUCAUUAACUACCUGAGUGCAGAUGUUGUCCGCUGACAGAAACCGCUGUUAUUAGUAAACAAGAAAAGUAAUGCCAGUUAUAAUUAUUUAAAGAUGAAUAGACUUGUGCAAUAAAACCACAUACUCCACUUUUGUAGUGAGAAUUAGCUUACUGCCACGGUCCUACGUUAUCCGUCUCUCUCUUUAUCUCUUAGUCUGCGGCUGUUAAUCGCUCCGUACUUUUAUUAGCAGCAUUACAAGCCGAGCUGAAUUAAGAGACAUAAAUAUCUCUCAGGGUCAUUUAACAGUACUUAUACAGUCUCACAUUGGCAGAUCAGCGUGGUGCAGUUAUUUCCUCAAGGUUUUGAGUAACUGUAAGAGACAUAAACACCAAACUCGGGCUCUUUGUUUUCCUUCUGUGUUUAAUUUGUACAGUUUCCUCCCACCGCUGAGCUUUAUUUCUAUGGCUCCCUCUCCAUCCUGCAGAGGCUCUUUCAUGCUUAUUCUUCCUCUCCUUGAAGCUGGUCAUUGGAGGUAACAGCAUGUUGCUAAUCACUUCAUCAAAGCCAGAAAUGCAUGUAACGGCCUCCUGAAGGGAGGGCAAAAACAAAAUGAGAUUUAUUCAGUAAACAAAGGAAGUGAAGCCACAUGCUGCGUAAGUGGGAGGAAGUGAGACAAGAGGAAAUUUGUUCAUUUCCCUCUAAUUUUCUCCUUCCAUCAUGAGGAAAUGUUGUUUUGGCUGCAUGCUGUAUUUUAUGUCCACUUAUAACCGCAUAAUUACCACAAACUGCUGCUCCAGAGCCUCCAGAAAAUGAUCUUUCUUACGCAUCGAAUCGUUUGUGAGGUGAAUAAUUUCGCUGUUUGGCCUCAUUUUGCUUAUUGCUCUUUGCUCUCUUGUGUUUCAUCGACUAAAUUUGUUUGCAGCAGUAAUGGGACCCUGUUUGUCAGCAUGAUACCGCUGCAUGCUUCUUGUAGCUCCAGGUAGCGGACAUAUUAGCCUCCCGCCGGAGACAAAAGUUGAAGAUCUAACAGCUAAUGAGAUAAAUAUCUUGUGAUUGAAUAUUUGGUUUCUGUCCAGGUCUCAGGCUGGAGCUUCAACGGAUUUUUGAGGUAGAGGAGCACCAAAAUAUGACAUACAGGCCCUUUUUUUAAAGGUGUAUUCAUAAAGUCACCUUUAUACAACAAUCAUAUUAUUCCUUUCUGAUCCACAGGGGCAGGUCACCCUCCAUCUUGAACCGCCACCUUUCUACAGCAGCACAGAAUGGACAAACAACACGCCAUAUGCAAUCUCGAACCGAAAAACGCAAGAACAGAGGAGUCGUUGUUGUGCUCUGAAUGAUUCAUAUCGGUAUGCAUUUCCAAUAAUUAAAUCUUAACAAAUGUUUGUUCAUACUGAUCAUGAAUUGCAGUACCUUUUUGUUCUCUAAGGCCACCGUCACUUCACCAAGAGGAGGAAAAUUUUUUAAUGAAGUUAUAAAAAAUAUAUACUGUAAAUAUACUGUAGGCUACUGCUCUUCACGCCGGCAGGAUGACCCACUGAUCAAACUCAGACCAGAAAAGCGUUUUCAACUACGCCCCCACCCCCAGCCCCGAUCGGUGUCUCCGCGCCUUAACUCACGUUCCUCAUUUCCGGUCCGGUCUCAUCUGGAGACAUGCAGCUGCCUCAGUAAGAGAAGUAGCUUGAU